AAAGGCCACUCUGCGUGCUCUCCACAUAUUUAUUGCAAACUGCAUGUGUGUGACUAGGGGCUCUUAUAACUGACGCUGCGUUGAGGAGAUGUGUGUGGCUGGUUCAUUUAGCAUAGAGUUCCCUAAGCACUGAAGCAGGAGAAUCUGACACACUGGAUGAGGUCUCAACAGAGCUCACAUUGGGCACUGAGGCUCCUGGGGACCCUGGUUCCACAGUGUGCAGGCAGACCAUCUUCAGUCAUCUACUGCUUGGACGCUGAGCUGCUCAAGUUGCCUGAAUUUUGGAAAAAUAGUGAAUAUGCAUCUGAAGGUAUCAUGCUUAUGCAGUUAUCUGCUGUUGUGCAGUGUUUUGCUGGUCUUGCUCACUGAGAAAGUGAUGUGAAGUCUCUUUUUGGAGGCAGAUUCGUGUAUGGUUGGGAGCUGCCCAUUUGUGGAACUGUGCUUAUGACUUCCAGAAUCCUUAAUAUGGCUGUGGUAAUGGUACAACAUUUCUGACACUUGCCUGUGUCCUUUACCCUAGCUAUGGCUGGUGCUUACCGUCUCCUCUUUUUCCUACAUGCCAAUUAAUUCAUCUCUGAAAUCUGUCUCCUCAACAUGUGAAAACCUUCCGGUUGCUAAUCCACCAACAAAGCUAAGUGUAUUUUUAGAAAUCACAGGAUCUUAUUUGUUCCACUAGUGGAUUUAAAUUUUUAAAUGCUAGAUGAUGUCUAUAUUGAAUUUUGCAGCUAGGUCUUUCUCUUCCCAAAACACAAUACUGAAUAUUUAUUUGUUAUCAAUAUAAUGUGGAAAUACUGUUAAAGCAAUAUUAUGAUAGGUACACAAUGAUAAAACCUGUAGAAUAUAAGAGCUAAUUCAGGUCUAAACUACAGACAAGAUGAACAUUUAGUUCAGUUUAAUGUUUAGUGCAUGAAGUCAUUACAGUGCAAGAAUGGCCUUACUGAUUCAGAGCAGAGGCUCAACUAGCCCAAUAUUCUGUCUGUAAUGGUGACCAGAGGAAAACAGAGAAAGGGCAAAAGACAACCAUAUAUUCCAGGGUAUGCCUGCUGAGCUUCCAGACAUCCAUGACUUAGUGACUUCUAGAGCUAGAGUGUCUUUUCAUGCCUAGUAACCCUCUGUGGACUUCUUUUUUCCUUCCAAAAAUGUGUCUAACAUUUUCUUGAAAUCAUGUAAACUUUCCUGUACAUAAUAUCCAGGAACAAUGAGUUCUGAAGUUGAAUUACAUAUCAUAUGAGAAACUACAUACUUAACCUUGAACCUGUCCUCUGGACAUUUCAUUUGAUGCCUCCACAUUUUGAAUUGUGAUUUUAUAGACCUCUAUCAUAUCCUCCUUCAGUUUUGUUCUUCCAGGCUGCACACUUCUGGCUUAUUU
rnacentral:lncRNA from 1 species